AUUGCCCUAGUAACGGCGAGUGAAGCGGCAAGAGCUCAAAUUUGAAAUCUGGCCCUCUCAGGGUCCGAGUUGUAAUUUGUAGAGGGCGCUUUGGCGUCGGCUACGGCCUAAGUUCCUUGGAACAGGACGUCACAGAGGGUGAGAACCCCGUACGUGGCCGCUGGCCUUCGCCGUGUAAAGCCCCUUCGACGAGUCGAGUUGUUUGGGAAUGCAGCUCUAAAUGGGAGGUAAAUUUCUUCUAAAGCUAAAUACUGGCCAGAGACCGAUAGCGCACAAGUAGAGUGAUCGAAAGAUGAAAAGCACUUUGGAAAGAGAGUCAAAAAGCACGUGAAAUUGUUGAAAGGGAAGCGCUUGCAGCCAGACUUGCCUGUAGUUGCUCACCCGAGCCACCGGCUCGGUGCACUCUUCUGCGGGCAGGCCAGCAUCAGUCCGGGCGGUCGGAUAAAGGCCUCGGGAAUGUAGCUCCCCUCGGGGAGUGUUAUAGCCCGGGGUGCCAUGCGACCAGCCUGGACUGAGGUCCGCGCAUCUGCUAGGAUGCUGGCGUAAUGGCUGUAAGCGGCCCGUCUUGAAACACGGACCAAGGAGUCUAACAUCUAUGCGAGUGUUUGGGUGUCAAGCCCGGGCGCGCAAUGAAAGUGAACGGAGGUGGGAACCCCUCGGGGCGCACCAUCGACCGAUCCUGAUGUCUUCGGAUGGAUUUGAGUAAGAGCAUAGCUGUUGGGACCCGAAAGAUGGUGAACUAUGCCUGAAUAGGGUGAAGCCAGAGGAAACUCUGGUGGAGGCUCGCAGCGGUUCUGACGUGCAAAUCGAUCGUCAAAUUUGGGCAUAGGGGCGAAAGA
rnacentral:rRNA from 1 species